UAACGCGUAGGUAACCUGCCUUGUAGCGGGGGAUAACUAUUGGAAACGAUAGCUAAUACCGCAUAACAAUGGGUGACUCAUGUCAUUUAUUUGAAAAGGGGCAAAUGCUCCACUACAAGAUGGACUGCGUUGUAUUAGCUAGUAGGUGAGGUAACGGCUCACCUAGGCGACGAUACAUAGCCGACCUGAGAGGGUGAUCGGCCACACUGGGACUGAGACACGGCCCAG
rnacentral:rRNA from 1 species